UACUAACAGCACCUAUAAAGAGCUAUUAAUGAUGUCAGACUAUAGUUGGUCUGAAGGAAUCCCUUUUCCUGACAUAGAUUUUCAAAAACAAAUUUUGGAAGUUGUUCAUAAUAAGUUUAUGGUGAAAGAUGAAGACUUGAUCAUAUUGUCUUACCCAAAGUCAGAAAGAAGAAUAGAGAGAGUGAUGAGAAUAAACAGAACACAUAGCACCAAGAGAUAAAUGCAUUUAUUUGAGGAUAUGUGGAGGAGAGGAGAGGACAGUGCCAGGUAGAAUUACCAUGGUCCUUGCCCAGGAUGUAGAAAGAGUCUGAAAACUCAAGAAACCAAAAAUCAACAUCAUUUUGGUUUGGAAAAUGGUUGUUUGCUGUGAAGCACUGAACAUUGGGAACAAACUGGCUGACUGAGAUUGUCUGCUUCAUUCAGACCAAGGGAGAUCCCAAGUAGAUCUAAUCUGUGCCCAUCUGGGAUCAUGCACCCUGGUUAGAGUAUGAUACAGGAUAUUCUGUAUUAAUAUAUAAGGAAACACCAUGACUCAUGAGUUUCCAUCAUCCCAUCCAUCUUUUCUCCAAGAUUCUCUCCAGUUCCAAGGCCAAGCUAUCUAUCUCAUCAGAAAUCCCAGAGAUGUUCUUGUUUCUGGUUAUUUUUUCUGGGGUAAGACAAACCUUGGGAAGAAUCCAGAGUCACUGUGAACUUAUCUUGAAUGGUUCCUCAAAGGCAAUGUCUUAUAUGGAUGAUGGUUUGAGCACAUCUGUGGUUGGCUGUCUAUGAGAGAAUGGGACAACUUCCUCUAACUGUUCUAUGAAGACAUGAAAAAGACUUCUAACUGGUCUGCUGCCCUGAAGAUGCCAUAUCCUGACCCAUCCUAGAAGAACAACUGUACCCAGAGUAGCAGCUUGCUGCAGAAGGAUCCUGGUGUCCGAGUCCGUUCUUGCUGGCGAGAAGGUGACGCGGGUCACAGUUGGUGCCGAAACCCGGGAACAGGCCGAACCAUCGCCAGGCACCGAGGGAGACCCUCCGCUCGCGGAGUGGAUUCAGAACUGCAGACAAAGGUAAGCUCUGAGAGGCAUGUUUGGCCUUGAUCUAUUUCGUGUCCCU